AGUGGACGCUGGCGGUAGGCCUAACACAUGCAAGUCGAACGGCAGCACAGUAAGAGCUUGCUCUUACGGGUGGCGAGUGGCGGACGGGUGAGGAAUACAUCGGAAUCUACUUUUUCGUGGGGGAUAACGUAGGGAAACUUACGCUCAUACCGCAUACGACCUACGGGUGAAAGCAGGGGAUCUUCGGACCUUGCGCGAUUGAAUGAGCCGAUGUCGGAUUAGCUAGUUGGCGGGGUAAAGGCCCACCAAGGCGACGAUCCGUAGCUGGUCUGAGAGGAUGAUCAGCCACACGGGAACUGAGACACGGUCCAGACUCCUACGGGAGGCAGCAGUGGGGAAUAGUGGACAAUGGGCGCAAGCCUGAUCCAGCCAUACCGCGUGGGUGAAGAAGGCCUUCGGUUUGUAAAGCCCUUUUGUUGGGAAAGAAAAGCAGCAGGUUAAUACCCCGCUGUUCUGACGGUACCCAAAGAAUAAGCACCGGCUAACUUCGUG
rnacentral:rRNA from 1 species